rnacentral:rRNA from 1 species
UACGUAGGGUGCAAGCGUUGUCCGGAAUUAUUGGGCGUAAAGAGCUCGUAGGCGGUUUGUCGCGUCGAAUGUGAAAACCCGGGGCUCAACCCCGGGCCUGCAUUCGAUACGGGCAGACUAGAGUUCGGUAGGGGAGUCUGGAAUUCCUGGUGUAGCGGUGAAAUGCGCAGGUAUCAGGAGGAACACCGGUGGCGAAAGCGGGACUCUGGGCCGAUACUGACGCUGAGGAGCGAAAGCGUGGGGAGCAAACAGG